GGCAGCAGAGACUCUGCUCUCCUCCUUUGGAUUAAUUCUGAUAUAAUAACUGUUGGUUUAUUUAUCGGUGCAGCAGCACAACAUUUUCCACAGAUAGUUUUCUUGCCCGUUGGCUUGUUUUAACCAGUUUUCUACCUUCGGCUGAUUCUACCAGCAGACACUGAAAGGACUCUGAUAGUUUGAGUGAAAGUAGCAGUUCCUCCUUAAGGUCAGAGAUUGCAGCAUCUGAGGGCCUCUUCAAAAGAAGACGUAGUUGAUGAAGGCGUUCUGGAGCAGGACCAGAAAGACCACGACCAAGCAGCCUUGAGAUCUUAGGCAGCGUCUCCCUCAGGUCCCUCUCUAUCUCCCCACACAUCCACCAACCACUGGAACACAUCUCCAAAGUUCUGCCGGGCCAGCUCAGCUUCCAUUCAGAAGAAGUUCCACCAGAUGAAGGAGCCUUUUGAGAGGCAGCUGGCAUCGUGAUUGGACUGUACUUUGGUCUGUUCCAAUCCAGCUUCAGCUCCAGAGACGGCAGGCGGGACGAGUCAACGGAGGCCGGGUGGACGAAGGCAUGCAGCUGAGUACAAUCCAGAAAACAACAGAGGAGGAGUGCAGCAGCCCAGAGCCAGAACAAACAGAGUAGCAUCGUAUGUCUCUUAGAAAACAUCAUAGUAUAGCCUUUGGUAUGAAAAAACACCAUCAUAUACAUCGUAUAUUGUACAAAUAAGUCAAAGGAAAGAGACAUACAUUGUAGAAUUGUAGUAAUUGUGGGCUGACUGAUUUACUGAUUAUCAGUAUUUUAUUUUUUACCGAUUUACAGUAAUAAAUCCAUUUAAAAAUGGCGCUACUUUGGCUCUGAACCUUAAUCUACCUGUGGUCGCUCUGUCUUCUGGAGGGAUUUGAUUGGUUAUACGUCA
ensembl:lncRNA